CCGACCUUAGCUCAGUUGGUAGAGCGUGAGACUGUAAUGGUUGCUUGAAUCUCAAUGUCGCCUGUUCGAUCCAGGCAGGUCGGA